CAAUGUCCGUUUUCGUAGGUGACGCCGUAAUCGUUGAAAAUGAGACCGAGACAGCGUCCGUCGGCUGGUGGAAAAGAAAGAAGAACUGAAAUCAUUAAAGAAAGUCUCCGAUUUGAAUGCUGAUCAAGAACACAUGGAGAAUUUGGCGCUACAAAAAUGUAACGAAGCCAAUGCGAAAUUGCAGCUCGACAUUAUUGAUUUCAACACAGUUGGUUUUGAGGCAGUGUUUUACGUCGCCGAGUCACUAGUGGAAGUGUGCAGUGUUUUUGGCCCGCUAAGCGAAGAGUUGGCUAAAAAGAAAAAGUAUGCAAAAUUGUGCACAGCAGUUGGUGGGAUUUUAAAUGGAUUCGCCCCGUCUGACUUUCAACUAGCAGCCAUCCAAGCUUUAAAAAUAGACACAGAAGAAGAGAUGGCGACAGUGGUCAAACUCAUUUACGUAAAGGCUAUUGCUGAUCCCAUUUCCUCGCCUAUAUAUGCUAAAAUGUGUCUAGCUUUGUCAACCAAAGAAGUUCCAUCUGCCUCCGAUCCAGCGGUAAUUACAAACUUCCGCAAGGUACUCUUGUUGGAAUGCCAGAAAAGGUUUGAAGAGGAUUACUUCAGCCGGCAGGAUACAAAGGAUGAAAAAGAAGAAAUCGAAAGCGCCGAAAAAGAAACAGAAAAGAAAGACUUUGAAAUUGGAUUUAAAAAAGAUCCAUUGAAUCGAAGGAGGUCUCUAGGGAACAUCAGUUCUUUCCGGCAGGUUUAUCGGUCAACUAAUAAAAUUACGCAUUCUUUCGGAGAAAAUUUUGCAUCAGUGUAUUCUUCGGCUGCUGAGUCAACGGGAUGAUGAAGAUUAUCUCGAGGCUCUGUGUGUACUAUUGAUUACGACUGGUAAAAAUAUGGAAUCUGCAAAAACCCCACAAAUGUCUGUUACGGAGACAAAUCGUGAAAUUAUGAAUUCGUACUUCACUACUCUGGAGGCCAUCGUGAAAAA
rnacentral:misc_RNA from 1 species